AGUGAACGCUGGCGGUAGGCCUAACACAUGCAAGUCGAGCGGCAGCACAGUAAGAGCUUGCUCUUACGGGUGGCGAGUGGCGGACGGGUGAGGAAUACAUCGGAAUCUACUUUUUCGUGGGGGAUAACGUAGGGAAACUUACGCUAAUACCGCAUACGACCUACGGGUGAAAGCAGGGGAUCUUCGGACCUUGCGCGAUUGAAUGCGUCGAUGUCGGAUUAGCUAGUUGGCGGGGUAAAGGCCCACCAAGGCGACGAUCCGUAGCUGGUCUGAGAGGAUGAUCAGCCACACUUGAACUGAGACACGGUGCAGACUCCUACGGGAAGCAGCAGUGGGGAAUAUUGGACAAUGGGCGCAAUCCUGAUCCAGCCAUACCGCGUGGGUGAAGAAGGCCUUCGGGUUGUAAAGCCCUUUUGUUGGGAUAGAAAAGCAGCAGGUUAAUACCCCGCUGUUCUGACGGUACCUAAAGAAUAAGCACCGGCUAACUUCGU
rnacentral:rRNA from 1 species